rnacentral:rRNA from 1 species
AGAGUUUGAUCCUGGCUCAGGACGAACGCUGGCGGCGUGCUUAACACAUGCAAGUCGAACGGUGAACCUGCUUCGGUGGGGGAUCAGUGGCGAACGGGUGAGUAACACGUGGGCAACCUGCCCCUGGCUCUGGGAUAACUCCAAGAAAUUGGGGCUAAUACCGGAUAUGACCGCUGACCGCAUGGUCUGGUGGUGGAAAGAUUUAUCGGCUGGGGAUGGGCCCGCGGCCUAUCAGCUUGUUGGUGGGGUAGUGGCCUACCAAGGCGACGACGGGUAGCCGGCCUGAGAGGGUGACCGGCCACACUGGGACUGAGACACGGCCCAGACUCCUACGGGAGGCAGCAGUGGGGAAUAUUGCGCAAUGGGCGAAAGCCUGACGCAGCGACGCCGCGUGGGGGAUGACGGCCUUCGGGUUGUAAACCUCUUUCAGCAGGGACGAAGCGGAAGUGACGGUACCUGCAGAAGAAGCACCGGCCAACUACGUGCCAGCAGCCGCGGUAAUACGUAGGGUGCAAGCGUUGUCCGGAAUUAUUGGGCGUAAAGAGCUCGUAGGCGGUCUGUCGCGUCGGCUGUGAAAACCCGAGGCUCAACCUCGGGCCUGCAGUCGAUACGGGCAAACUGGAGUACUGCAGGGGAGACUGGAAUUCCUGGUGUAGCGGUGAAAUGCGCAGAUAUCAGGAGGAACACCGGUGGCGAAGGCGGGUCUCUGGGCAGUAACUGACGCUGAGGAGCGAAAGCGUGGGGAGCGAACAGGAUUAGAUACCCUAGUAGUCC